CCUGGCUCAGGAUGAACGCUGGAGGCGUGCCUAAUACAUGCAAGUAGAAAGCUGAAGGAGGAGCUUGCUUCUCUGGAUGAGUUGCGAACGGGUGAGUAACGCGUAGGUAACCUGCCUGGUAGCGGGGGAUAACUAUGGGAAACGAUAGCUAAUACAUCAUAAGAGUAGAUGUUGCAUGACAUUUACUUAAAAGGUGCAAUUGCAUCACUACCAGAUGGACCUGGGUUGUAUUAGCUAGUUGGUGAGGUAACGGCUCACCAAGGCGACGAUACAUAGCCGACCUGAGAGGGAGAUCGGCCACACUGGGACUGAGACACGGCCCAGACUCCUACGG
rnacentral:rRNA from 1 species